UUUGUGAUACAUUUAUAGUAUUGUGUUGUUGCCUUUUAAUAAAUACCUUUUAAUGUAGACGAACCUUGUGUAAUAUAUAUAUUAAUUUGGUGAUACACCACAUUUGGCGACCACGGAUUUUAGACUUCUACAAAGGUUAUUUAUGAGGUAAUAACACAUUAAUAGAUAGUCAGGUCCCUUUAAACAAUAUGAUUUCUUAUUCAGACAGCGGAAAGUGAUAACAAGUACUACAACAGUGAAGAAUAGUAAAAAUUGUGAUGGCGUAUCAACGUAAUUUAGACCAUUCCACUCUCUAAACAGUGCAGGUUUUAUUAUUGAUUUUAUUCUCCCCUCAGGACAGAAAUGUCUCAUUGUUUAGUUCUCAACCAGUUUCCUCAACUAGUCCAUGCAUCUACAACUAUUUCUGCAAAAAAAAUAGAAUUUACCAAUUAAUAUUCACUCUCUUCAACAUAUUCCUUUCUUUUUAAUGAACAGCACCAACAUUUCUAGCCGAAAUUAUGAACUUAAGUGUAUUAUUUGUUUACCAAAAUAAUGAUAUAACUGGAAGGUAAAUCAUAAUAGGGAUGAUUGUUGGAUAUACCAUCGAUAAAGAUUUUGAAGAGGAAGGAAAAUACCUGUACAUCACAUACCUUGAAAAUUGCAGAAUGAAACAAUUUCUUAAAACGUGUCUGUAACUAUCACUGUAUUACAUAAAAGCUAUGGAUACAAUCUGCUAAAUAGCAUAUGUGCAACAUAACCUGUUUUUUAUUUGUAUCCAUUCACAAGCAUGUCUAUACUCCCUAAAUUUAGUUAUGUUUUAUGUAAGCUUGUUUGAGCAGGGUCUUCUUCACUUGGCUUCUGUUAUCCCAUUUUUAUAAUUGUAAAGCACUACGGUGUAUGUUGGCGCUAUACAAAUGCUAAUAAUAAUAAUGCAUUGGACAUGCACAAACUGUGCGCCCUUCUAUAGUUCCAAAGAUGCCGAGAUAUCUCCAUAUUUUAUUUUGCUGAAUAUUCAAAAUUAACAAAUUAGAAAAUGUGUUCAGUUUGCUUAUAAAAGAAAUACUUAAAAGAUGUGCUUUAAGCAAUGGCUUUUUUAUGGCCGCAUUCUAAGAAAUGUUUAGUUUCCAGACAGAG